rnacentral:rRNA from 1 species
GACGAACGCUGGCGGCGUGCUUAACACAUGCAAGUCGAACGAUGAAGCUAGAGCUUGCUCUGGUGAAUUAGUGGCGAACGGGUGAGUAACACGUGAGUAACCUGCCCCGAACUCUGGGAUAACUGCUGGAAACGGUAGCUAAUACUGGAUACGACCUACGAAGGCAUCUUCUGUAGGUGGAAAGAAUUUCGGUUCGGGAUGGACUCGCGGCCUAUCAGCUUGUUGGUGAGGUAAUGGCUCACCAAGGCGACGACGGGUAGCCGGCCUGAGAGGGUGACCGGCCACACUGGGACUGAGACACGGCCCAGACUCCUACGGGAGGCAGCAGUGGGGAAUAUUGCACAAUGGGCGCAAGCCUGAUGCAGCAACGCCGCGUGAGGGAUGACGGCCUUCGGGUUGUAAACCGU